rnacentral:rRNA from 1 species
GAUGAACGCUGGCGGCGUGCCUAAUACAUGCAAGUAGAACGCUGAAGGAGGAGCUUGCCCUCCUGGAUGAGUUGCGAACGGGUGAGUAACGCGUAGGGAACCUGCCCGGUAGCGGGGGAUAACUAUUGGAAACGAUAGCUAAUAUAGCAUGAAAACAGUUAUUGCAUGAUAACUGUUAAAAAGGGGCAACUGCUCCACUACCAGAUGGACCUGCGUCGUUGUAGUUAGUUGGUGAGGUAACGGCUCACCAAGGCGACGAUACAUAGCCGACCUGAGAGGGGGAUCGGCCACACUGGGACUGAGACACGGCUCAAGCUCCUACGGGGGGCAGCAGUAGGGAAUCUUCGGCAAAGGACGGAAGUCUGGCCGGGGAACGCCGCGUGGGGGAAGAAGGUUCUCGGGUCGUAAAGCUCCGUUGUAAGAGAAGAACGAGUGUGAGAGUGGAAAGUUCACACUGUGACGGUAUCUUACCAGAAAGAGACGGCUAACUACGUG